AAGGCUCUAGCCUCCUUGAUGAUGCUUAUCUCAUGGGAGAUAUGGACAGAGCGUAACGCUAGGGUCUUUCAAAAUACGGCCGUCCCUUCCAUGGUCCUAAUCUGUAAGAUCAAAGAGGAGGUGUCUCUUUGGGCAGUGGCGGGUGCGAAGCACAUGAGUGUUGUAAUGCAGCGAGAGUAG
rnacentral:rRNA from 1 species